rnacentral:rRNA from 1 species
AUGAACGCUGGCGGCGUGCCUAAUACAUGCCAGUCGAGCGAACGGACGAGAAGCUUGCUUCUCUGAUGUUAGCGGCGGACGGGUGAGUAACACGUGGAUAACCUACCUAUAAGACUGGGAUAACUUCGGGAAACCGGAGCUAAUACCGGAUGAUAUUUUGAACCGCAUGGUUCAAAAGUGAAAGACAGUCUUGCUGUCACUUAUAGAUGGAUCCGCGCUGCAUUAGCUAGUUGGUAAGGUAACGGCUUACCAAGGCAACGAUGCAUAGCCGACCUGAGAGGGUGAUCGGCCACACUGGAACUGAGACACGGUCCAGACUCCUACGGGAGGCAGCAGUAGGGAAUCUUCCGCAAUGGGCGAAAGCCUGACGGAGCAACGCCGCGUGAGUGAUGAAGGUCUUCGGAUCGUAAAACUCUGUUAUUAGGGAAGAACAUAUGUGUAAGUAACUGUGCACAUCUUGACGGUACCUAAUCAGAAAGCCACGGCUAACUACGUG